rnacentral:rRNA from 1 species
CCUACGGGAGGCUGCAGUGGGGAAUAUUGGACAAUGGGGGGAACCCUGAUCCAGCCAUGCCGCGUGUGUGAAGAAGGCCCUCGGGUUGUAAAGCACUUUCAGUGAGGAAGAACGCCUGGUGGUUAAUACCCAUCAGGAAAGACAUCACUCACAGAAGAAGCACCGGCUAACUCCGUGCCAGCAGCCGCGGUAAUACGGAGGGUGCGAGCGUUAAUCGGAAUUACUGGGCGUAAAGCGCGCGUAGGUGGCUUGAUAAGCCGGUUGUGAAAGCCCCGGGCUCAACCUGGGAACGGCAUCCGGAACUGUCAAGCUAGAGUGCAGGAGAGGAAGGUAGAAUUCCCGGUGUAGCGGUGAAAUGCGUAGAGAUCGGGAGGAAUACCAGUGGCGAAGGCGGCUUUCUGGACUGACACUGACACUGAGGUGCGAAAGCGUGGGUAGCAAACAGGAUUAGAUACCCCUGUAGUC